rnacentral:rRNA from 1 species
UACGUAGGGGGCAAGCGUUAUCCGGAUUUACUGGGUGUAAAGGGAGCGUAGACGGUGAUGCAAGUCAGAAGUGAAAGCCCGGGGCUCAACUCCGGGACUGCUUUUGAAACUGUGUGACUGGAGUGCAGGAGGGGUAAGUGGAAUUCCUAGUGUAGCGGUGAAAUGCGUAGAUAUUAGGAGGAACACCGGUGGCGAAGGCGGCUUACUGGGCUUAAACUGACGCUGAGGCACGAAAGUGUGGGGAGCAAACAGG